GCGCUCGUAGCUCAAUUGGAUAGAGCGUCAGACUACGGAUCUGAAGGCUGUGGGUUCAACUCCUACCGGGCGCACCA
rnacentral:tRNA from 1 species